rnacentral:lncRNA from 1 species
GUCUUGGAUGUGAUUGCUCCUCCCUACACUUCUGACUUUGUGCAGCUCUUUCUUCCUAUUCUAGAGAAUAACAGUAUUGCAGGUGCUAUUAAAACAGAAGGAGAACAUGACCCUGUGACAGAGUUCAUAGAUAAGCCCACUGAAAGUCUAACUUCAUUAUGGUAAACUGAAUCGGAGUCUGCUGCUGAAUCCAAGGUUCCAACAAGACAUUUCUAGGUGGAACUCAAGAAGUCGUGAGGACUGUGGCCUGAACUUCUGGUGGAAAGACUUUUUACUGACCCUAUGGGUUAUUUUAAAUGUGUGGAAUAUCCAUCUAAAGAGUUAUCAAAUAAAAUUUGGAAGGACUUAACUUUCAACUCAAUUUUUAUGUUACAUGUAUCAAAUUAUAAUGGGAUUUUCAAGAGUCUUAUUAAGUUGCAUUUUACUACAUGGGCAUCGCAGGAUGCUUCACACAGCAGUAAUUCUCACUCAAGAUACCAGAUUGACCUCUUCAGCAUUAAACAAGUGAUUGAGUGGAACUUUUCUAAAGUAAUUUAUUGUAACCAAAAACCCUCUACAGAUUUGGGUAAAUCAUUAUUCCAUUGUAGAUCAGUUUUCUGAAUAGGAGGCAAAAAGUGAUUUGUAGACAUUUUCCACCUUUAGAAGUAUAUUUCACUAAAUAUUUAGGAUGUGGUUGCUGGGUAUGAGGUAAGCCGAUUAGAAGCAGCUAAUCUUAAUAAAACUUAAACUAUGGGAUCUCCAAAUGAACACAUUUCUUCAAUAGCAAGAUUGUAAUUACUAUCCUGUCCAUUUUUAUAUCUGCUGGUUACAAUCCUCAGCCAGCCCUUUUCACCCCACGGUUCACCCCAUGAAUUUCGGACAAUCCAGUAUUCUGUUCCGUUAUCACUAACACCCUACCCAGCCACAGAAAUGAUAUGGUUUAUCAUAGGUUGAGGAUUAUAUUCAAAAUAGAUCCCUCCAGUGUAGUUAUCCAAGGCUUCCGUUGCCAUUAUGCCACAACUGAUAGGCCCAUUUGCAUAUAUUUCUGCCAUCAUUUUUUCUCUCCCAGAAAGGAUACCAUAGUCUCCAACUUUCCAGAGAGUAUAGUUCUUUAUAGAAUAGCAAUUAUGGAAUUCAUUGCAUGUACCACAUUCAUUAAACUUGUCACAUUCCUGGUCUUUGGCCUGGGAGUUGUUGCAGGUCUCAUUGGGAAUGCCAUGCAUGUGAGCGUAUUUCCACACGGGGAGAUCCAUGCCACCCUCACAGGACCCAGCAUUGCCACAGUCAAUCACGUGUUGCACAGACAGGAGCGUAGAGGACCAGGCUCCCUUCCUCUUGAUAUUGAUACGAUCUGCCAGGGCGCUGGUGGUGCCGUGGGCCCAGCAGGAGCCGCAGUACUGGGGGAUGUGCUGGUUCCGGUCCCCAGGCGGAGCCAUCUCACGCUUCCUCCCGGCUCUUGGUUCUCUCUUUCCCAAAAGUUUUAA